GACGAACGCUGGCGGCGUGCCUAAUACAUGCAAGUCGAGCGAAUGAUGAGGAGCUUGCUCCUCUGAUUUAGCGGCGGACGGGUGAGUAACACGUGGGCAACCUGCCCUGUAGACUGGGCUAACUUCGGGAAACCGGAGCUAAUACCGGAUAAUUCUUUUAGCCUCAUGGCUUUAAGCCAAAAGGCGCUUCGGCGUCACUACAGGAUGGCCCCGCGGUGCAUUAGCUGGUUGGUGGGGUAAUGGCCUACCAAGGCAACGAUGCAUAGCCGACCUGAGAGGGUGAUCGGCCACAUUGGGACUGAGACACGGCCCAAACUCCUACGGGAGGCAGCAGUAGGGAAUCUUCCACAAUGGACGAAAGUCUGAUGGAGCAACGCCGCGUGAGUGAUGAAGGUUUUCGGAUCGUAAAACUCUGUUGUAAGGGAAGAACAAGUGCGUUAGGUAAUGAACGCACCUUGACGGUACCUUAUUAGAAAGCCACGGCUAACUACGUGCCAGCCGCCGCCGUAA
rnacentral:rRNA from 1 species